GUAAUCCUAACUUCAAAAUUUGUUGGUGGAGAUAACAAUUUCUAUUAGUUAGGGAAUAUCUAUGCAUUUUGUAUUAUGGAUUGGUUUGAAAUUUUGAGUUUCUUAUUAUGAUUCGAAUUACAUGCAUUUUGGGUAUUAAACUUUGAUUAAUAUUGGUCAUCGUCUCAGAAUCUAAUAACACACAACCCUAGAACUCUAACCUAAAUCUUAGACUAUGAAACCCCAAACGCUUCACCCUGAAUCUUGAAAUCCCAAACUUCGAACCGAUCCAUGCACCCUAAACCCCUAAACCCCUAAAACCGUAAACCAUAAAUCCUAAACUUUAACCCCUAAACCGUAAACCCCACAGUAUACCCCAACCCACAAACCCCAAACUCCAAUCCCCAAUCCCGAAAUCCAAACCCAAAAUACUAAACACUAAACCCUAAAGUACCCUUAACCCCUAACCCUAAACCCUGAACCCCGAACUCUGAAACUCGAACCUCGAAUCUCAAACCUCGAACUUCAAAACCUAUAACCCCAAAACCACAAACCUCAAAACCUCGAAAAGUUUGAACCUCGAAACCAAAACCCUUAAACCCAAACCCCAAACCUUCCAACCUCCUAUCCCCCAAACCUCAAACCCCAAAACGUCGAAACCUCGAAAAGUCUAAACCUCGAAGCCCAACCCCUAACCCCUCAAACCUUCCAACCCCUACCCCUAAACCUCCAAAACCCCAACCCCCAAACCCUAAAACCUCGAAGAGUCUAAACCUCGAAACCUAUAACCCUCAAACCUUCCAAUCCUCAACCCCCAAACUUCCAAAUCCCCAAACCCUAAAACCUCGAAACCCCUAAUCCAUCCCCCAAACACCAAACCCCCAACCCCCAAAACCCCAAAACGUCGAAACCUCAAAAAGUCUAAACCUCGAAACCCAACCCCCCAACCCCUCAAACCUUCCAACCCCUAACCCCUAAACCUCCAAAACCCCAACCCCCAACCCAAAACCCUGAAACUUGAAAUUCGAAACAUGUAAUCCUAACUUCAAACUUUGCUGGUGGAGAUAACAAUUUCUAUUAUGUAAGGAAUAUCUAUUCAUUUUGUAUUAUGGAUUGGUUUUUUAAAAUUGAGCUUCUCAUUAUGGGUAUCAAACUUUGAUUAAUAUUGGUCAUCGUCUCAAAAUCUAAUACCACACAACCCUAUAACUCUAACCUAAAUCCUAAACCCUAAACCCUCAAAUCCCAAACACCACACCCCAAAUCCUGAAAUCACGAACCCCGAACCGAUCCAUGCACCUGAAACCUUAAACCUUAAACCCUCAAAAACCUAAAACCAUAAACCAUAAAUCCUAAACUUUAACCCCUAAUCCAUAAACCCCAAAGUACCCCAAACCACGAACUCCGAACCCCAAACCCUUAUCCUGAAAUCCAAACCCAAAAUCCUAAACACUAAACCCUAAAGUACCAUUAACUUCAAAUCCCGAAUCCUGAACCCCGUACCUCGAACCUUGAACCUCGAACCCUAAACUCGAAAUCGAAAACCCCAAAACCACAAACCUUGAAACCUCGAAACCCAAAACCUCGACACCCAAAACCCCUAAACCCAACCGCCAAACCUUCCAACCCCCAACUCCCAAAUCCCCAACCUCCAAACCCCAAAACCUCAAAGAGUCUAAACCUCAAAACCCAAAACCCCUAAACCCAACCCUCAAACCUUCCAACCCUCAACUCCCAAACUUCCAAACCCCCAAACCCUAAAACCUUGAAACCACUAAACCCAACCCCUCAAACCUUCCAACCUCCAAACCUCUAAACUCCCAACCUCAAAAUCCCAAAACCCCGAAACAUGAAACUCGAAACCCCAAUCUCAAAACCCGAACCCAAAAUCCUAAACACUAAACCCUAAAGCACCUAACUUCGAACCUCGAACCCCGAAUCUCGAACCUCGAACCUCAAACCACGAACCCAAAGCUCGAAACUUGAAACCCCAAAACCACAAACCUCGAAACCUCGAAAAGUCUAAACCUGAAAAACCAAAACACCUAAACCCAACAACCAAACCUUCCAACCCUCAACCCCCAAAAGUCCCAACCACCAAACCUCCAAACCCCCAACCUCCAAAACCUUCGAACCCUUAACGUCCAAAUCCCCAAACCUCCAAACCUCCAAACUCUCAACCCCAAAACCUCAAAACUUGAAAUCUGAAACCUGUAAUCCUGACUUCAAACUUUAUUGGUGGAGAUAACAAUUUCUAUUAUUUAGGAAAUAUUUAAGCACUUUGUAUUAUGUAUUGGUUUGAAAUUUGGAGUUUCUUAUUAUGAUUCGAAUUACAAGCAUUUUGGGUAUCAAACUUUAAUUAAUAUUGGUCAUCGUCUCGGAAUCUAAGUACACACAGCCCUAGAACUCAACCCUAAACCCUAAACCCUAAAGUACAACAAACCACGAACCUCGAACCCAAAACCCAAAUCCCUAAUCUCGAAACUCGAACCCUAAAAUUUUAAACACUAAACCUUAAAGUACCCUUAACCCCGAACCCUGAACACGAAACUUGAAACCCCAAAACCACAAACCUCGAAACCUCGAAAAGUCUAAACCUCGAAACCUAAAACCCCUAACCCAACCCCCCAACCCAAAAUCCCAAAAACCACAAAACCCAGAAACCUAAAACUUGAAACCCCAAACGCUCUACCCAGAAACUUGAAAUCACGAACCCCAAACUGAUCCAUGCACCCUAAACCCUGAAACCUAAAACACUAAACCUUAAACCCCUAAAAGCCUAAAGUCGUAAACCAUAAAUCCUAAACUUUAACCCCUAAACCAUAAACCCUAAAGUACCCCAAACCACGAACCCUGAACCCCAAACCCAAAUCCCCAAUCUCGAAACCAGAACCCUAAAAUCCUAAACACUAAACCCUAAAGUACCCUUAACCUCGAACCUCAAACCUCGAACCCUGCUGAAACCCCAAAACCACAAACCUCGAAACCCAACCCCCAAACCUCCAAACCCCCAACCACCAACCCCAAAACCCCUAAGCACUUUGUAUUAUGGAUUGGUUUGAAAUUUGGAGUUUCUUAUUAUGAUUCGAAUUACAAGCAUUUUGGGUAUCAAACUUUGAUUAAUAUUGGUCAUCGUCUCGAAAUCUAAUAACACACAACCCUAUAACUCUAACCUAAACCUUAGACUAUGAAACCCCAAACGCUCCACC
rnacentral:lncRNA from 1 species